AACAUCUGGAGAGCUAUCAUUGGCCACCCCUGACAUAGAUUGUUUAGAUCUAGCCUUGACAGGUUAGCUUCUAGAGUCAAAGCUAGAUGACAGCUUUUAAAUUAAAUCUUGUCAGCGAUUGGCUGACCAGUCAGCCAGCCUGGAUAAAAUCAGGCUAGGUGCCCACAAACGGAGGAGCUUCUACUUUUCCAAGCCAGAAGCCAGGAGUCUUCUCCAGGAGAUCUAGGAGACGGUAACAGCAAAACCAGAGAAUCAGUUACGUUUCAAGUUCAGGAAUGCAGCACCAGAGGUAGUGGAGACCUUGACUGCUUAUAUGGCAAGAUAAAUGAGGACUGCUGACCAGUGGAUACAGGCUGCAGAGUUGUUUCCAGAAGGUGGUGCGUCAUCCAGAGUUGUUGGGAGCAAGAUCCAAGGCGUUCCAGGAACCGGCUGCUUGCAGAGAUGGAGAAACAUCAGCAAUGAGGGCUGGAACUGCCUUUGCCAUGAACAGGUUGGAGAUACUAGAUGCAAAUCAGUUCAUCUCCAAGGAACAACAGCAAUGGGUGGACAAACUCCAGUUGGAACCAGUCAUUAUCAACUAAGAAAUGACUGCCAUGUGCACAAAAGAUACGGGAGCAGAUUUAAGUUCCAUCAGAAAGACUCUUUUAGAGGGCAAGAACCUCCAUUAUGAAGGUCUAAUGUGUGUGGACCCUUAUGAGUGUUCCUCUAAAUUGAUACCUAUUGUGAAAGUCCAUGUAAAGUUUAGAGAUUACGAAGGGGAACAGAUAAUGUUAGCCCAUGAAAAAUCUGAAUAUGAUUUUGUGAUUGGGGCAGACCUAUUGUAUAAAGUUGUAUGCUCAAGGACAGAACAGGAUCGAUCACAUGUUCAGGAACCCCCAGAUAGAACCAGAAGGGUGGAGUUACCAGAGGUAUGGGCCAUGGACAGCACAGCAGAAGUAAUGUUCCAGAGGGAGAGAAAACAGAAAUCUCCUCAUGAGUCAUUGUUUAACAUGAUUUCACAAUGUGAGGGUGUGGUUAAAGAAUGUAGUCAAUCAGAGGCAGGAAGAGUCCUUAAUUCCAAGGCUUAUUUAUUAUUUGUUCGAUUUAUAUCCCGACCUACCCCACCAAAGCGGGCUCAGGGCGGCUUAUAGAGUAAAAGCUACUGAGUCACCAGUAAAGACAUCUGUGAGGUUUAAUCAAGUGGUAACUCGUUCUAAGCCAUAGGGCAUGAAGAAAUAGUAUUUUGUGACAUUGUAUGUGGGUAUGUAUUUGUUUAACACCUCAUGUUAAAUUUUCAUUGUGUCUGUAUGUUUUGGACACCUUAGUGGGUGCAUGUUUGUUUUUAAAUGUUAUGUAGUGUCCAGUUAUGUAUAGCAAUGUUAUAUGUUUGUAUUUUUAUGUCUUAAAGUUGCUAUGAUCAUAGCCUGAGGGCUAUAGAUCAAGCUUUUUAAGAGGGGGUGUGUCAAGAAACUGAGAGACACCUAAGUGUUAGUGUACGCAAUGUCUGUAUGUUUAUAAGUGUUUCAGGAUUUGCACCAAUAGUAUGUCAAAGCUAAUAGGCACUUAAGUAGUCCCAGGUGGAGACUAACUGGAUACACCUGUGAAGUCAGCCCACAAAUGACAUAGAUUGUUUAGAUCUAGCCUUGACAGGCUACCAUCUAGAGUCAAGGCUAGAUGACAGCUUUUAAAUUAGAUCUUGUCAGUGAUUGACUGACCAGUCAGCCAGCCUGGAUAAAAUCAGGCUAGGUGCCCACAAAAGGAGGAGCUUCCACUUUUCCAAGCCAGGAGUCUUCUCCAGGAGAUCUAGAAGGUAACAGCACAACCAGGUGAAUGAGGACGGACUUUGGAAGAUGUCUCUCUAGUGUUGUGGGCCUGGCAGCAGAAAAGCAUCAGUGAGUAUUAGACUAAGGAAUUAGCCAACUACUACACAGUCCAGUGUAGGGAGAUAGGCAAAUUGCCUUGAGGUUUUGUCUAAGUGUUCCUUUGUGCACAGUAUGUUUUAUUAGUUUUUAUCAUCCCAUUUUGUGUUUCCCCUUCCCCUUUAUCUUGUAAAUAAAGUUUAUAUAUUUUUUUCUAUAA